rnacentral:piRNA from 1 species
UNCAGAGCAGUACAGCUCUUCAAAGGAACAA